rnacentral:miRNA from 1 species
CCUGGCAGUCUUAGUCUUGUGA